ACUGAACGCUGGCGGCAGGCCUAACACAUGCAAGUCGAACGAGUGGCGGACGGGUGAGUAAUGUCUGGGAAACUGCCCGAUGGAGGGGGAUAACUACUGGAAACAGUAGCCAAUACCGCAUACCAUCGGUCGUGCCCAGAUGGGAUUGGCUCGUGGGUGGGGUAACGGCUCACCUAGGCGACGAUCCCUAGCUGGUCUGAGAGGAUGACCGACCACACGGAAACAGUGACACGGACCGAAGUCCUACGGGGGGCGGCAGGAGGGAAUAUUGCACAAUGGGAGCAAGCCUGAUACAGCCAUGCCGCGUGUAUGAAGAAGGCCUUCGGGUUGUAAGGUACUUUCAGCGAGGAGGCGUUACUCGCAGAAGAAGCACCGGCUAACUCCGUGCCAGCAGCCGCGGUAAUUC
rnacentral:rRNA from 1 species